AGGUGGUGAGUCCUCCAAUAAAGGCAAGGAAAUUGCAUCCGAGGACCAGUAGACAGAGUGCUUCGAAAGUCUGCAUUCUAGACAUUGUGAGUAAACUUAUUAUCGUCUUAAUUAUCUAGAGUAGUUUUAUACAACUAUGUGAUUUUAUGAAAAAUGGGUUUAAAUGGUAAAUUGUUAUGUUUUAAGGGAAAUUGUGAUUUUAUAAAAUGAUUUUAUAAAUUUUCUGAAAAAUCGAAUAUUGGUUUUGAAAAUAGAGUAAUUGGAGACUGCUAGUUUGUGUUGCAAAUUUAUGGUUCUGAAUUGAAUGGCUUAUGACAAUAAAUGAGCAUGAAUGGCUAAACUGAUUUUGGUGUUAUAAUUAUUUAUACUGUGUAUUCAGCCUUGAGAGGCUAGGUUGUGAUAAAUUGCCAUGACAUGCUAGAAUGAAUUUUAUUGAUUGGUGGAUUAUAUAUUAAUUAUUUACUGCAGAGGGGGUUCCGUGGACCAGCCUAUUAGAGGGGCACGGUAAACUCCAUUAUAUUAUUACCUCGAACGGAGAGGCGCGUAGGGUAUCUCCUGGGGUAUAGCUUAGGGUUCACUUCACGCCAAACCACCACGUGAAGGGGAACUCAGCCAACGCCAAGGAACGGCUGUAUUUUUUCAAACAAAAUAUAUUUUAAGUUUACACAAAAUUUUAACAGCCUUUGGCGGACUCGGUUAGAUGCCCUGCGCAAGGUAUCACCGAGUAUGAGUUUUUGGCACAAGCCAAAUUUUAAGAAAUUCAUAAGCCAAGUUGAUUACUCGAUUUUUAUGGAUUGAUUUUAUUUGGUUGAAAUGAGUUGAAUGGUAAUGAAAUUACAGUAUGAUGAUUUAUUUUAAUUGUCUCCAUUUACUCGACUUUAGAUAGUUUAGAUGGUAUCUGUUUACUCACUGGGAUUUUAUAAUCUCACCACCCUCAUUUCCUCACAUUUCAGGCUCAGGGAAUUCCGUAGUUAGCUGACUUGAACAAGGACCUUCAUUUGGACUCGAAUCGGUAAAAGCUGUAGGUUUCCAGCUUCCGAUGCAUUUUGGAUAGAUAUGGGCCCACGUGUCACUGUAAAAGAAAUUUUAUGCUUUGGUUAUUUGCUUUAUAGUAUAUAUGAAUAUAAUUAUCUUUU
rnacentral:lncRNA from 1 species